rnacentral:rRNA from 1 species
GCCAGACUCCUACGGGAGGCAGCAGUGAGGAAUAUUGGUCAAUGGGCUUACGCCUGAACCAGCCAAGUCGCGUGAGGGAUGAAGGUACAGAGUAUCGUAAACCUCUUUUGUCAGGGAACAAAGGCGGGGACGUGUCCCCGGAUGAGUGUACCUGAAGAAAAAGCAUCGGCUAACUCCGUGCCAGCAGCCGCGGUAAUACGGAGGAUGCGAGCGUUAUCCGGAUUUAUUGGGUUUAAAGGGUGCGUAGGCGGAGUGUCAAGUCAGCGGUAAAAUUUCGGGGCUCAACCCCGUCGUGCCGUUGAAACUGGCGUUCUUGAGUGGGCGAGAAGUAUGCGGAAUGCGUGGUGUAGCGGUGAAAUGCAUAGAUAUCACGCAGAACUCCGAUUGCGAAGGCAGCGUACCGGCGCCCAACUGACGCUGAAGCACGAAGGCGUGGGUAUCGAACAGGAUUAGAUACCCUGGUA